rnacentral:tRNA from 1 species
GCCUCCGUAGCUCAGUGGAUAGAGCGGCCGCCUCCUAAGCGGCAGGUCGCAGGUUCGAUUCCUGCCGGGGGCACCA